rnacentral:rRNA from 1 species
UACGUAGGGCGCAAGCGUUAUCCGGAAUUAUUGGGCGUAAAGAGCUCGUAGGCGGUUUGUCGCGUCUGCCGUGAAAGUCCGGGGCUCAACUCCGGAUCUGCGGUGGGUACGGGGCAGACUAGAGUGAUGUAGGGGAGACUGGAAUUCCUGGUGUAGCGGUGAAAUGCGCAGAUAUCAGGAGGAACACCGAUGGCGAAGGCAGGUCUCUGGGCAUUAACUGACGCUGAGGAGCGAAAAGCAUGGGGGAGCGAACAGG